rnacentral:rRNA from 1 species
GACGAACGCUGGCGGUGUGCUUCACACAUGCAAGUCGAACGAGGUAGCAAUACCUAGUGGCGGACGGGUGAGUAACGCGUGGGAAUCUGCCUUUAGAUGGGGGAUAACGGGUCGAAAGACUCGCUAAUACCGCAUAUGACGAAAGUUGAAAGGAGUAAUCCGUCUAAAGAUGAGCCCGCGUCCGAUUAGCUAGUUGGUAGAGUAAAAGCCUACCAAGGCGACGAUCGGUAGCUGGUCUGAGAGGAUGAUCAGCCACAAUGGACUGAGACACGGCCCAUACUCCUACGGGAGGCAGCAGU